UUCUAAAACAAAAAUUAAAUUCCUCUGCACUCUGCAACAAAACUCAUAUCUAUAAUUUUCUUUACAGUUCAUCUUGGGAGAAAAAUUACGCCCAGACAUUUACCAAGAAAUUUCUACUGAUGAAAAUCCCCAGUUUAAUGAAAUAAUUAGGACUGCUCUAUAAUGAUUUCUUUCCUUACUUGGAAAUAUUUUCUGGACCUGUGCACCGACUCCUUCCUUUUUACCAGUAAAGGUACUAUUGUUUGGGUUGCUGCCAUAGUCUCUGGCAGUCUGCACUGUUGAUCUACUCCACACUAUCCACAUCUGUCAUUGUUGAACAUCAGUCUGUCUCUUUCCCUUAGAUUAUUGACUCCCUGGAUGUAAGAAGAACUUUGCUUUGGAUUUGGAUUUUUUGCCAGUACAUAUAGAUAGCUAUAGGUAGCCUUGCUUUUCCCACUUGCUCUGUCUCCCUAAGUUUUUGCUUGACUGAUAUACAUUACACACUAUAUGUAUAUGGGUGAGGGGAUGAGUGUGUGAAAAUAUUUGCAUUUUCAUGUGAGAUUUCAACCAUUAAAUGU